ACCCCUUCUUUCUCCUCUCUGUCUCUCGGUGUUCCUCUCCCUCUCCUUCUCUAAGGUAAGGUUCUAGGGAUGAAUUCUUGAGUCUUGUAAGGAGAUUUUCGUGGGAAAGGAGGCCCUUCCCUCCUUGUGCCCUCCGGGGAGUUGAAUUUGUUUCAAUCUCA